AUUGAACGCUGGCGGCAUGCCUUACACAUGCAAGUCGAACGGCAGCAUGAUCUAGCUUGCUAGAUUGAUGGCGAGUGGCGAACGGGUGAGUAAUACAUCGGAACGUGCCCUGUAGUGGGGGAUAACUAGUCGAAAGAUUAGCUAAUACCGCAUACGACCUGAGGGUGAAAGUGGGGGACCGCAAGGCCUUCUGCUAUAGGAGCGGCCGAUGUCUGAUUAGCUAGUUGGUGAGGUAAAGGCGCACCAAGGCGACGAUCAGUAGCUGGUCUGAGAGGACGAUCAGCCACACUGGGACUGAGACACGGCCCAGACUCCUACGGGAGGCAGCAGUGGGGAAUUUUGGACAAUGGGGGCAACCCUGAUCCAGCAAUGCCGCGUGUGUGAAGAAGGCCUUCGGGUUGUAAAGCACUUUUGUCCGGAAAGAAAUCGCACUUACUAAUAUUAGGUGUGGAUGACGGUACCGGAAGAAUAAGGACCGGCUAACUACGUGCCAGCCGCCGCCGUAAAAC
rnacentral:rRNA from 1 species